AAAUAGAUACCCCGGUAGUCCACGCCGUAAACGAUGAGUGCUAAGUGUUAGAGGGUUUCCGCCCUUUAGUGCUGCAGCUAACGCAUUAAGCACUCCGCCUGGGGAGUACGGCCGCAAGGCUGAAACUCAAAGGAAUUGACGGGGGCCCGCACAAGCGGUGGAGCAUGUGGUUUAAUUCGAAGCAACGCGAAGAACCUUACCAGGUCUUGACAUCCUCUGACAACCCUAGAGAUAGGGCUUUCCCCUUCGGGGGACAGAGUGACAGGUGGUGCAUGGUUGUCGUCGGCUCGUGUCGUGAGAUGUUGGGUUAAGUCCCGCAACGAGCGCAACCCUUGAUCUUAGUUGCCAGCAUUCAGUUGGGCACUCUAAGGUGACUGCCGGUGACAAACCGGAGGAAGUGGGGAUGACGUCAAAUCAUCAUGCCCCUUAUGACCUGGGCUACACACGUGCUACAAUGGAUGGUACAAAGGGCUGCAAACCUGCGAAGGUAAGCGAAUCCCAUAAAGCCAUUCUCAGUUCGGAUUGCAGGCUGA
rnacentral:rRNA from 1 species